rnacentral:tRNA from 1 species
UCCUCCUUAGCUCAGUUGGUUAGAGCAUCUGACUGUUAAUCAGAGGGUCCCCCGUUCAAGUCGGGGAGGGGGAGCCA